rnacentral:rRNA from 1 species
UACGUAGGGGGCAAGCGUUGUCCGGAUUUAUUGGGCGUAAAGAGCGUGUAGGCGGCUUUACAGGUCCGUUGUGAAAACUCGAGGCUCAACCUCGAGACGCCGGUGGAAACCGUAAAGCUAGAGUCCGGAAGAGGAGAGUGGAAUUCCUGGUGUAGCGGUGAAAUGCGCAGAUAUCAGGAGGAACACCGGUGGCGAAGGCGGUUCUCUGGGCAUGUCCUGACGCUGAGGAGCGAAAGUGUGGGGAGCGAACAGG